rnacentral:rRNA from 1 species
UAAAUUGAGAGUUUGAUCCUGGCUCAGGAUGAACGCUGGCGGCGUGCUUAACACAUGCAAGUCGAGCGAUGAAGUUUCCUUCGGGAAACGGAUUAGCGGCGGACGGGUGAGUAACACGUGGGUAACCUGCCUCAUAGAGUGGAAUAGCCUUCCGAAAGGAAGAUUAAUACCGCAUAACGUUGAAAGAUGGCAUCAUCAUUCAACCAAAGGAGCAAUCCGCUAUGAGAUGGACCCGCGGCGCAUUAGCUAGUUGGUGGGGUAACGGCCUACCAAGGCGACGAUGCGUAGCCGACCUGAGAG